AUUGAACGCUGGCGGCAGGCCUAACACAUGCAAGUCGAGCGGAGCGGCGGACGGGCGAGUAAUGCCUAGGAAUCUGCCUGGCCGAGGGGGCUAACGUCCGGCAACGGGCGCUAAUACCGCACACUAUCAGAUGAGCCUAGGUCGUAUUAGCUAGUUGGUGGGGUAAAGGACUACCAAGGCGACGAUCCGUAACUGGUCUGAGAGGAUGAUCAGUCACACUGGAACUGAGACACGGUCCAGACUCCUACGGGAGGCAGCAGUGGGGAAUAUUGGACAAUGGGCGAAAGCCUGAUCCAGCCAUGCCGCGUGUGUGAAGAAGGUCUUCGGAUUGUAAAGCACUUUAAGUUGGGAGGCGGUACCUACAGAAUAAGCACCGGCUAACUUCGUGCCAGCCGCCGCGGUAAUUC
rnacentral:rRNA from 1 species